AGAGUUUGAUCAUGGCUCAGAACGUACGCUGGCGGCACGCCUAACACAUGCAAGUCGAACGAAGUAGCAAUACUUAGUGGCAGACGGGUGAGUAACAUGUGGGUAUCUACCCUUUGGCCUGGAAUAACACGAGGAAACUUGUGCUAAUACCGGAUAAGUCUUUACGGAGAAAGCUUUAUGCACCAUUGGAUGAGCCCGCACUUGAUUAGUUUGUUGGUAGGGUAAUGGCCUACCAAGACUAUGAUCAAUAGCUGAUUUGAGAGGAUGAUCAGCCACAUUGGGACUGAGACACGGCCCAAACUCCUACGGGAGGCAGCAGUGGGGAAUCUUGCACAAUGGAGGAAACUCUGAUGCAGCGAUGCCGCGUGAGUGAAGAAGGCCUUUGGGUUGUAAAGCUCUUUCGUCGGGGAAGAAAAUGACUGUACCCGAAUAAGAAGGUCCGGCUAACUUCGUGCCAGCAGCCGCGGUAAUACGAAGGGACCUAGCGUAGUUCGGAAUUACUGGGCUUAAAGAGUUCGUAGGUGGUUGAAAAAGUUGGUGGUGAAAUCCCAGAGCUUAACUCUGGAACUGCCAUCAAAACUUUUCAGCUAGAGUAUGAUAGAGGAAAGCAGAAUUUCUAGUGUAGAGGUGAAAUUCGUAGAUAUUAGAAAGAAUACCAAUUGCGAAGGCAGCUUUCUGGAUCAUUACUGACACUGAGGAACGAAAGCAUGGGUAGCGAAGAGGAUUAGAUACCCUCGUAGUCCAUGCCGUAAACGAUGUGUGUUAGACGUUGGAAAUUUAUUUUCAGUGUCGCAGGGAAACCGAUAAACACACCGCCUGGGGAGUACGACCGCAAGGUUAAAACUCAAAUGAAUU
rnacentral:rRNA from 1 species